UUAUCUUCUAAGAUGCGAGUUCCACUUACUUAACCUCCCCCUCCAACCAGCCCUCAGUACCACCACUAGUUUCAAUCUAUGGCCCUAUGUUGAUCCGGAUAUUUCACUUCCCAAAGUUGCUGAGUGUUUUGUUUGUCUGAAUUGAAAAAAAAAAGGAGAGAAUAUGGAAAGAAUCUUGACUCCCCUCUAUACCACUGAGAUCUGAACGACUUUACCUCACGGUAUGGGCAAGUCUAACCUCCUGAGAAGCCACUAGGAGGACAAUGCUGGUACCGCCACUUGAAGCACAAGGGCUGUGGAAAGACCAAGAGCUGCCGUCUCAAUUCAGGAGGAAUUAAGACAAAAGGAAAGAAGCCUAGAGACACUCUUCUCUACUUAGUAAUUCCUCUGGCUCCAGUAACACACAGGCGUCCAAUCUAGAAGCUCACAUGGUCCGCGUGGCAUUUCAGACUCACUCUUUAGAAGACGCCCUGCUAAUGCACACAGUGUGGAGGUGAGCCUGCAGCAUUAUAGCUGGUACUCGGCCUUGCUCUUGCUUUCUGGUUUACCUAAUGUCAAACUCAUCUUUUCAAGUUUUACUGUGACCAGACUUUGUUUAUGUUUGUUUUAUUUACUUUUUAAUUAUUAAUUUUGAAUUUUAUUUUGUGUGAGACCAAAAGGAAAGCCUUUCAUAACUGCCCCUUCCUUUAGGACUGGAGGAGCUAACAGGGUUGUGUUGCAACCAUGCUCAGUUGCUCUGAGGAGGGAGCUGGGGCAGAGAUAGCGCUUCAUACAUCUGGCAUUCUCACUUGCAUGGGCCAUUUGCAAAGUCUUGAGAGUGACCUUCGACCUUCGACCUUCCUAAUGCAAGGAACUAAAGUAUUUGUCAGCUUUUAAAAAUCAUUGUAAUCUAUUGUCAUUUCUUUUUAUUUUAAAUAAACACUGUUUACUUCAUCUUAAA
rnacentral:lncRNA from 1 species